GAUAAACGCUGGCGGCGUGCCUAAAACAUGCAAGUCGAACGGUCAUCUUUCGGGGUGGCAGUGGCGGACGGCUGAGUAACACGUGGGUGACCUGCCCUCGAGCGGGGGAUAACUGCCCGAAAGGGUGGCUAAUACCGCAGACAUCGGUGAGUCGGAUUGCCGAUUGAACUUGAGGGGCUCGGGGAGGGGCCCGCGGUCGAUUAGCUAGCUGGUGGGGUAACGGCCUACCAGGGCGACGAUCGAUAGCUGGUCUGAGAGGAUGAUCAGCCAGACUGGGACUGCGAACGGCCCAGACUCCUACGGGAGGCAGCAGUUAGGAAUUUUGGGCAAUGGGCGGAAGCCUGACCCAGCAACGCCGCGUGGGUGAUGAAGGCCCUCGGGUCGUAAAGCCCUUUUCCCAGGGAAGAUGGUGACGGUACCUGGGGAAUCAGCCCCGGCUAACUACGUGCCAGCCGCCGCGGUAACAC
rnacentral:rRNA from 1 species